rnacentral:sRNA from 1 species
UUAGGGGUCUAUCAGACCUCACAUGAAAAAAGAGUAGUUAGUUACAAGCUAGCUGCUCUUUUUUUUUAUUAUACAU